rnacentral:rRNA from 1 species
UACAGAGGAUGCAAGCGUUAUCCGGAAUGAUUGGGCGUAAAGCGUCUGUAGGUGGCUUUUUAAGUCCGCCGUCAAAUCCCAGGGCUCAACUCUGGACAGGCGGUGGAAACUACCAAGCUGGAGUACGGUAGGGGCAGAGGGAAUUUCCGGUGGAGCGGUGAAAUGCGUAGAGAUCAGGAGGAACACCCAUGGCGAAGGCAGCUCUCUGGUCGACCUCUGACGCUGAGACGCGAAAGCGUGGGGAGCGAACGGG